rnacentral:tRNA from 1 species
UAGCUCAGCUGGUUAGAGCACCGUGUUGAUAACGCGGGGGUCGUUGGUUCGAGUCCA